rnacentral:lncRNA from 1 species
UAUGCAUACAUACACCAAGAUUUACAUAGUAUAAGUGUAUACUUAAACCAAACGAUCGGAGUAUAUGUGCAUGCAUUCACUUAUGAGAGAUACAAAACAAGAGUAUGUAUUUAACUAUUUUUAUUAUAAUUGUGAACCUAGCUUGAAAUAAACAAAAUUUAAGUCAUGUGCGAUAUCGAUCGAUCCAUAAGAUGAGAGAAACGCCCGUCUCCAGAAGCAAGUCAGGCGCGAUCCAUCAGAUGAGACAAACGCCGUCUCCAAAACGAGAUGAUGGGAUCAAUCUGCACAUUUCAGCCUGUAUAGAACAGAGAGCACCAUGAUCACUGAUCUCUACAGCCUUUUGAAACGGUGGUGGACAAAAAAAAUUAAUUAUGAACUCUAGAAAAUCUCAGGAAUCCAAAUUCUAUGGAUCAAUGCACGAAUUCCUACAUCUCGCCGCUCCCUGAUCUUAUCCGAAGAGGGACCAUCUCGCGGCUCCCUGAUCUGAAAAGACCAAAGGAACUUGACGCUAAGCCUUAAUAUACUACUGGAGAAAACAACAUUGAUUUUGCCAUAUUAAAUCAAUACCUUGUCACCAGGGAUGAUACACGUUCGUAUGCAGAUCUCUCGUCGUGAUCUCCAAGAUGAGAUGAGAGUAUGAGACUGAAUGCGAAACGAAGAAAGCGGGACCUAGUGAGCCAAUGAGACGACGCCGGCGGCUCCGGUGAAUGUUGUAUUGCUU